rnacentral:rRNA from 1 species
UUUAAAAAGUGUAGAAUGAACUCAUUUAUGCGCAUAACCCGCAAUCAAUACAACCUUUCAACAACGGAUCCUCGUUGGCCUCUCGCAUCGAUGAAGAACGCAGCGAAAUGCGAUACGUAAUGUGAAUUGCAGAAUUCAGUGAAUCAUCGAAUCUUUGAACGCACCGUUGCGCCCCUUGGUAUUCCGAGGGGCACACCCGUUUUGAGUGUCGUGAAAACCCUCAACCUCCUUGGUUUCUUCUGGAGACCAAAGCAGGCUUUGGACUUUUGGAGGCCUUUGCUGGCACCUCUUUUGGAGGCCAGCUCCUCUUAAAACAAAUUAGCAGGGGUCCUCUUUGCCGAUCCUUGACGUGUGAUAAAGAUGUUUCCAUGUCUUGGUUUCUGGCUCUGUCACUUUUUGGGACCCGCUUCUAACCGUCUGGACCUUGCGUCGAGACAACGUUCGAGCACGUCUCCCUUCUCGGGAAGCUCCCUCGACCCC